CCCCUCUCAGGGUCGCACCUGGAGAGUUUCCAGUACUCUACCAGUCUCGACUACCGGGAAGGAGAGUCAAGCUGAGGCCUACCCAUUUCAUCCCUAGCUUGGGCAGUGGCUAGUGAGUGGAAGGCCAUCUGCUACAAGU